AUUGAACGCUGGCGGCAGGCUUAACACAUGCAAGUCGAGCGGGGUGAUGGUGCUUGCACUAUCACUUAGCGGCGGACGGGUGAGUAAUGCUUAGGAAUCUGCCUAUUAGUGGGGGACAACAUCUCGAAAGGGAUGCUAAUACCGCAUACGUCCUACGGGAGAAAGCAGGGGAUCACUUGUGACCUUGCGCUAAUAGAUGAGCCUAAGUCGGAUUAGCUAGUUGGUGGGGUAAAGGCCUACCAAGGCGACGAUCUGUAGCGGGUCGGAGAGGAUGAUCCGCCACACUGGGACUGAGACACGGCCCAGACUCCUACGGGAGGCAGCAGUGGGGAAUAUUGGACAAUGGGGGGAACCCUGAUCCAGCCAUGCCGCGUGUGUGAAGAAGGCCUUAUGGUCGUAAAGCACUUUAAGCGAGGAGGAGGCUCUUUUGGUUAAUACCCAAGAUGAGUGGACGUUACUCGCAGAAUAAGCACCGGCUAACUCUGUGCCAGCCGCCGCAGUAA
rnacentral:rRNA from 1 species